GAUGAACGCUCGCUACAGGCUUAACACAUGCAAGUCGCGGGGCAGCAUGGGGGUUGCUUGCAAUCCCCGAUGGCGACCGGCGCACGGGUGAGUAACGCGUAUUCAACCUGCCCUUCACCACGGGAUAACCCGGCGAAAGUCGGACUAAUACCGUAUGUUGUCCAUUGACGGCAUCCGAUUUGGACGAAAGGCUUGGCGGUGAGGGAUGGGGAUGCGUCCGAUUAGCCAGACGGCGGGGUAACGGCCCACCGUGGCUACGAUCGGUAGGGGUUCUGAGAGGAAGGUCCCCCACACUGGAACUGAGACACGGUCCAGACUCCUACGGGAGGCAGCAGUGAGGAAUAUUGGUCAAUGGGCGUAAGCCUGAACCAGCCAAGUAGCGUGCAGGAUGACGGCCCUAUGGGUUGUAAACUGCUUUUAUGCGGGGAUAAAGUGGCCCACGGGUGGGCUUUUGCAGGUACCGCAUGAAUAAGGACCGGCUAAUUCCGUG
rnacentral:rRNA from 1 species